CUAGAUCCAUGCGUGCUGUUGUUAGUUCUUUUUUAAGCAAUAUGAAUUGCUUAUAAAACAACUGUGCUUCUAAAGCUCUCCAGCAUAAAAGAAUAAAAAAUGAAGUCACAGAUUUUUUUUUAUUUUCUGUAUGAAAGAUUUAUGAGAAUAGCUAGUUUAUAAUAUUUUUUGAUUUGUUUUUCAUUGAACUGGAUUAAGUACAUUGUUUAGGAUGUUUUUCUGUAGAUGAGCUGAAGCAACGACAGAGGUUGCUUAGCAACAUGUUUUCAAUGUUUGGUAAGAAAUAAAAAUAAAUGCAUGGUAUGAAAUCAAAUUUUAUUACUUCAGGAAUUAAUGCAUUUAAAUAUAGGUAAACUAAUGUGUAAUAUUCGGAAGUUUAUUUUUAACAAAAUUUGUCAAGGAAAGAGGGACACUGAAUGUCCAAUAUCUUAACUAUAGUUCUCUUAUCUGUUUGUGCUAACUUACUAAUUAAUGUGGCUGUUCAGACUUAACAUCACAUUGUCUGUCUGUCAGUAAAGCUCUAUAACUAUCAAAUCCUGGAAAUGUAUGUUUCGAUAGUAAUGAAGAUGCGCUAUAGUUAUAGUACAGUAUACAUUUUGUUUUUGAGAGAGAGAGAGAUGUUAUUUUGGUCAUCUCAAUUCAAAGGAAAUAUCAAAGCAUCCAAAACAGUUUAUCCUUGUUAUUGCAAACCUUGUCCACUUUGUAAAACAUUAACAUUAUAUCAUCAAACAGAGUGCGCAUGAGUUAUGAGAUGGUGAGUAAAUUACAUAUUUAAGUGCUUUCCAUAUAUUAAGUAGGGAAAAAUAUACAUAUUUAUAUUUUUACUAGUGUACCAUUAUAAAAGGAGGGUAAUUUUUCUGUAGUAGGAUAUAUGAGAUAAACAAAAACAUACAUGCAGCAAUAUAUAGAGCCCAUGCUUGGUAAAGUAUAAUGACAUAUAUACAGUGGCCAGGUCCACACAUGGAUCAUAACUGUCCCAGUAUAUCCAGUCUAUGGAACAUUGAGGUUUUAUCAAAUUUAAAAUCAGCUGGUGAAUUUUCUUAAGAGUUCUAAUGAAAAUGCUUGAAAAUACUGGUAAAAUCCAUAAUAUACCAAUAUUCAAAUGUAAUUUUUUUUUAUGGAAUAGGAAUAAAUAUAAUUUGAAACUAUUGUCUAGUUUAGCUGAUACAACAAGAUCUACCCAUGAAUAUGAAUUAAGGGACAAAUUUAGUUUGUGUCUGUUAAUUGGGUUAAUUGCUUUUAUCCACAGAGCAGAGAGUGAGUCGACAACACACAGCCAUUUCCACAGCCACACUUGAUGCGGAAGAGACAUAGCAACUUAAGGAAAUGUAAACAAAAGGAAUUCUUCAGUGAAAAAAAAAUAAUUAUCUAGAUAUUUUGUUAUAAAGAACACUUGCCAGACAAGGUUAUUAUGUGUUGUAAAUAAAUGUAAGAAAUGU
rnacentral:misc_RNA from 1 species